GUGAACGCUGGCGGUAGGCCUAACACAUGCAAGUCGAACGGCAGCACAGUAAGAGCUUGCUCUUACGGGUGGCGAGUGGCGGACGGGUGAGGAAUACAUCGGAAUCUACUUUUUCGUGGGGGAUAACGUAGGGAAACUUACGCUAAUACCGCAUACGACCUACGGGUGAAAGCAGGGGAUCUUCGGACCUUGCGCGAUUGAAUGAGCCGAUGUCGGAUUAGCUAGUUGGCGGGGUAAAGGCCCACCAAGGCGACGAUCCGUAGCUGGUCUGAGAGGAUGAUCAGCCACACUGGAACUGAGACACGGUCCAGACUCCUACGGGAGGCAGCAGUGGGGAAUAUUGGACAAUGGGCGCAAGCCUGAUCCAGCCAUACCGCGUGGGUGAAGAAGGCCUUCGGGUUGUAAAGCCCUUUUGUUGGGAAAGAAAAGCAGCAGGUUAAUACCCCGCUGUUCUGACGGUACCCAAAGAAUAAGCACCGGCUAGCUUCGUG
rnacentral:rRNA from 1 species